rnacentral:rRNA from 1 species
AUGGUGUGGAGACUAACUGGAGUAUACGGGGAGUCCGAGGCGGGGAGGAAGAAAGAGACGUGGAGGGCGUUGAAGCUGCUAGGGCAACAUCACCAACGGGGAAGGCUGUGGCUGUGUGUAGGAGAUUUCAACGAGAUUCUGUCGUGUGAUGAGAAGGAAGGAGGAGCGGCCAGAACCCAAAGGUGUAUGGACGAUUUUAGGGAGGCCCUUGACUCUUGUGAGCUGACGGACAUUGGUUACAUUGGAGAUAAGUUCACGGAUCUCAACACUUAUAUUCGGGAAAGGUUGGACAGAGCUACGGCGAAUGCAUACUGGUGCGAGGUGUCCCCUGAUUUCUCCGUCAUAAACGGAUACCCAAGGCAUUCAGAUCAUCGGCCAGUCAUCAUUCAAACUUCUGGUGCUAGACCUGGGGUUCGGAAUGAAGGGAGAACCUUCCAGUUUGAAGCGUGGUGGUUGCAAGAGGAAGGUUGUUCGGAAGUGAUAGGGGAGGCAUGGGAGGCGGGGUUGUAUGGAGGUCAAGGUGGGGUUAGCGCUGCUAUGAAAAACGUCGCGACACUAGUAGAAAAGGAGGCUUUUGUCCCAGUUGGUAAGGGCCUUUAG